CCACAUUUAACCUAUCCCCAGAUAGCUCAGAUCUGAGCGCCCAAUCUAGGUGAACAGCGCUCAGAUCCCAUGAACAGAGUAGAUUUUCCAUGGGGUAAAGCAUAGCAAGGGCUGUUGAGAAACUCUGGAGGGACAAAAGCAGUCAGUUCCAACUGGUUUGGCAGUGUGCCUGGGACAACGCCCUGCUGGAGAACAAUAGACGGGAAACGGGGGAGGGGAUGAAACACACCUUCCCAUGGAUUCCAAUGGGAAGAAACUAUCUUUAGAAGCCAAUAAGCCCCAAAUAGUCUUUUUAAAUGGCAAUACACCCCAGGGCCAUAGUCAUGAGGAAGGAGGCUGGCAAUCAGGCUCCUCCAAAAGCCGGGGGCAAAGGGCAGCUUGUCACCUAACAAUCCAGGGACAAAGGGCAUUUCGUCACAUGUGUCGCCUGAUUAAAUACUUGAUAAAUGUUUAUUAGGUUAAACUAGCAUAAUCUAAGGGAAUAGAAUAUCGACAGGGUGCAGACCCUGUGUGGCUGGUGUAGUCAGCAUAUUUGCAAUUGCUAAAUAAAUGUUAUAAAUAAAUCUAAGAAAGAGCGCGCUAUAAAAG